rnacentral:rRNA from 1 species
CCUACGGGAGGCAGCAGUAGGGAAUUUUGCGCAAUGGGGGAAACCCUGACGCAGCAACGCCGCGUGAUCGAUGAAGCCUUUCGGGGUGUAAAGAUCUGUCAUUGGGGACGAAACCUGACGGUACCCACAGAGUAAGCACCGGCUAACUCCGUGCCAGCAGCGGCGGUAAUACGGGGGGUGCAAGCGUUGUCCGGAAUCAUUGGGGGUAAAGAGGUCGUAGGUGGAACAUUAAGGCUGGUGUUAAAGCCGUAAGCUCAACUUCCGUCGGGCCUUGGAUACUGGCGAGCUUGAAUGCGGGAGAGGCAAAGGGAAUUCCUGGUGUAGCGGUGAAAUGCGUAGAUAUUAGGAGGAACACCGGUGGCGUAAGCGGUUUACUGGGCCGUAAUUGACACUGAGGAACGAAAGCCGGGGUAGCAAAUGGGAUUAGAUACCCUUGUAGUC